CCUGGCGGCUAUGCCGGGGGUUCCCCACCCGAUCCCAUCCCGAACUCGGUAGUUAAGUCCCCCAGGGCCGAUGGUACUAUGUCCUAAGGCAUGGGAGAGUAGGUCGCUGCCGGGU
rnacentral:rRNA from 1 species